UGUCCUUCAUGGAUUCACUUCUGUUCAGUGUUUUCCAGAAGAUAAUAGUUGCAUUUUAGAUGCUCUGGUGUUUCGUUGAUCCGUCGUGAAUAUCUUCCUAAUAUGUUGAAAAUGUACCAACUCUCACUUCAAAGUUGAUUAAAUCAAACUUCAUUUUAAAGGGAACCUAUGAUGAUUUUCCUCUUUACUGACUUAUUUAAAUGUUGGAUAUCUAUGAUAAACAAUGACAUAAUUAAUCAAAGCAUAAGAUUUAUGCAUUUAGGCCAGAGGUUGCAUGCAGUUUCGGAUGCCUCUGAAAGCUGUGUUUUGCAGUCAACAGUGGGCCAGUUGACAGGAGUAAAUAUGCGGAAUUCAACUAUGGGGGGAAGUGAAAUCACAGCAUUGCAGUGCAGAACAAAGACACUGGACACCACAAACAGAUCAUGUGUGGGAGAAGGAGUGUAUGAAAUCAAGAGGCAGCGAUGGGUCAGGAUGGACCACCCCCUUACAGCAAGACUCUCUGCGGAAUGCCAUGUCACGGAACAGAUGGAGCUCCACACACAAAAGAACAGCAUGUAUUCCUUGG